rnacentral:lncRNA from 1 species
GUCCAUCAACCGACUCAUCGUGUGUGGCGCGCUUGUCAAUCCAAACGGCAUUCUUUUAAACUGAUAAAGCGGCCUAUUUGGUACUGUGAAAGCUGUUUUCGCACGAGAUUCUUGGUCUAAUCUAAUCUGCCAGAAGGCAUCCUUAAGGUCUAUCUUUGUAAUACAGUGAACAGGCGGCAACCUACUUAACAAGCCAUCCAUGAUCGGAAUUGGAUACGCAUCUCUGACUGUAACUGCGUUGAGUUUGCGGGCAUCUAAACAAAGUCGCACCUUACCAGGUUUGAUGUUCAGUGUGACAGGAGAUGACCACGGGGAGCUCGGAGCUUCUUCAAUAACGUCCAUACUCAACAUGCGAUCGAUCUCUGCACAUAAAAGGGUCUCCUUUGCUGGAGACAAAGGGUAAAAUCUUUGCUUAACUGGCUUGCUGUUAGCCGUAUCAAUGUGGUGCUCUAUUAGGGUCGUUAACCCCAGUCCAUUCUUUUCGAAUGACGGAAACAAUUCGAUCACGUGCUGUAACUGCUUCUUUUGAGAAAUCGACAAGGCUAACUUGAGCAACU